CGAACUGAUAUAUUUUUAGCGAGCGGAAACAAAAAAUUCAUCCAUACGAAGACAAAAUUGUUCACAUCCCCGACUCAUUCGAGACGGAUCCCUGCAAGAAAUUGAGUCAGGGAAAAAAAAAUUAUCAUCUCUACAUAUAUCUGACAGCGUACUUAAGAAUAUUUUGUCUCAAAAUUAACUAAAAUAUUUUUUAAUUUUUUUAAAAUAUUUUAUUUAUUAUUUCUACAAAUACUUAAAUGAUACAUAGUUUGAAUCUAAUUUUUAUAC
rnacentral:lncRNA from 1 species